UCAAUUUGAAAUGAAAUCAAACAAGAGAAGAAUGUCUAACGACAUUUAAUCUUCUCAACAGGCAACAUUGAAGCCCAGUAAUCAAUUUCCUCAUACGUUACCUGAGCAAUAUCCCUUUCUAAUGUUCCGUUACAUAGGUAUCAUCUUACCAUGUUUCAGAUACAUACUCUCUCAAGAUUUGGAUUGUUGUUAUUAAGAAAUGAGGUGCCAUCCAUCUGAGAUUUUUGUGGAGAUUAUCGUUGCGUUGCACGCAAGCAUCCAUCUCAGAUAUACAAAACCGUUUUAGGUUACUCUCACUUUUCUUCCAGAGUCACUUUCCCAUUUCUUCAGUAACAAAAGGAAUAAAUGGUGUUGUUUACGUGUUCGAUAGAUUUUCAUCGUCUAUCAAUUUAGCUGGAUAACCUGUGCAACGAACAAGGUGAAAAAGGCUCCUUGCAUGCAACUGAUGGAAUCAAUUUUCUGGAAACUUUGUGAAUCUGAUGCCAUUUACUAGAUGAAUUUUGAACCCUUGGAGGAUGCAUCCUCAUCUUUUUUGGAGAGAUGUGAUAGAACUUAUCAAGGUUGAACAGUGACUGAAAAUUUCUUUCAUGGCAAGCCUUGCACGUCUGCAGUUGGAUCAAUGUCAAAAUAACUGUAAGCUUUUUAGUAAGUUCCUAGAAUUGUGCAUUUGUGGAUGAAACUUUGGCAUCUAAAGCACAACGACAACUAAAUAAGUACUCAUUUAUUAUGCUUCCCAUUUGGUAUUAGCUUUCUCUUUGUUAUAUGGAAUGCAGAAAUUGCAUACUCUCAAAGAAUACAGAUAUUAUGCUUCCCAUUUGGUAUUAGCUUUCUCUUUGUUAUAUGGAAUGCAGAAAUUGCAUACUCUCAACUAAAUAAGUACUCAUUUUCAAAUCAUUUUUUGCAUUAUCUAGAAUAUUAAUCGAUCAUGUAUGAGAAUCAUUUGUUUGGACAAAAGUCAUUUUUGCUAAGCUUUGUAACUCAAAGUCGCAGGUUGUUUGCAUUGAAUCUAUUCGAGUUUGGUAAGAGUUCUUAACCAAAGUGACUGUUUGUAUAUGGAUUAUUCAUCUAAUUUUUUUUUUAUGUUUGUGUAUGGAUUAUUCAUCUAAAUUUUUUAGAAGAUUUGCUAAUAUAUCACCCCCAUUGCUGAAUUACAGGAAUCAUUAGUUAAUUGCAUAAACUUAUCAAUGGCUUCCCACUACUUAACUUGAAACACGUCAAACAGAAAAUUAGUUGCAGGACGCGUGCUGCGAUCGAUAUUGAAUGCAGCUUCUGCUCCAACCUUCCUAGCGACAGGAAUCCCUUCCACACCCCUCCAUGAUUUUUAGUGGCUCUAAGCCUCUAACUAUGAUUCUUGGGGCGUGUUUAUGAAUUAGAAAAAGUAAACAAACAUAUAUAAAAGUGUCCAAAGGAUAUACGACUGAGGAUGAAACCACUGUUUUGGGGGAGGAAGAUUCAAGCUUGCAUCAUUGAUAGCUUAACUUUGGUGUUAUAAUGCCCAAAUACAUAUUUAUCUUUUCUAUUGUGUAUAAAUAUCUUUGUAGUCUGUUCAGUUUCUUGCAGUGUUGUAUUGUUUUCCUAUCUUAUAAAGGUGUAAAAUGAAUUAUAUUUCAUUAAUAUUAGGCUGCCCCUU